rnacentral:rRNA from 1 species
GAUGAACGCUGGCGGCGUGCUUAACACAUGCAAGUCGAACGAUGAAGCCCAGCUUGCUGGGUGGAUUAGUGGCGAACGGGUGAGUAACACGUGAGUAACCUGCCCUUAACUCUGGGAUAAGCCUGGGAAACUGGGUCUAAUACCGGAUAGGAGCGUCCACCGCAUGGUGGGGGUUGGAAAGAUUUAUCGGUUUUGGAUGGACUCGCGGCCUAUCAGCUUGUUGGUGGGGGAAUGGCUCACCAAGGCGACGACGGGUAGCCGGCCUGAGAGGGUGACCGGCCACACUGGGACUGAGACACGGCCCAGACUCCUACGGGAGGCAGCAGUGGGGAAUAUUGCACAAUGGGCGCAGGCCUGAUGCAGCAACGCCGCGUGAGGGAUGACGGCCUUCGGGUUGUAAACCUCUUUCGGUAGGGAAGAAGCGAGAGUGACGGUACCUGCAGAAGAAGCACCGGCUAACUACGUG